CAGAAGAAGCACCGGCUAACUCCGUGCCAGCAGCCGCGGUAAUACGGAGGGUGCGAGCGUUAAUCGGAAUUACUGGGCGUAAAGCGCAUGCAGGUGGUUUGUUAAGUCAGAUGUGAAAGCCCGGGGCUCAACCUCGGAAUAGCAUUUGAAACUGGCAGACUAGAGUACUGUAGAGGGGGGUAGAAUUUCAGGUGUAGCGGUGAAAUGCGUAGAGAUCUGAAGGAAUACCGGUGGCGAAGGCGGCCCCCUGGACAGAUACUGACACUCAGAUGCGAAAGCGUGGGGAGCAAACAGGAUUAGAUACCCUGGUAGUCCACGCCGUAAACGAUGUCUACUUGGAGGUUGUGGCCUUGAGCCGUGGCUUUCGGAGCUAACGCGUUAAGUAGACCGCCUGGGGAGUACGGUCGCAAGAUUAAAACUCAAAUGAAUUGACGGGGGCCCGCACAAGCGGUGGAGCAUGUGGUUUAAUUCGAUGCAACGCGAAGAACCUUACCUACUCUUGACAUCCAGAGAACUUUCCAGAGAUGGAUUGGUGCCUUCGGGAACUCUGAGACAGGUGCUGCAUGGCUGUCGUCAGCUCGUGUUGUGAAAUGUUGGGUUAAGUCCCGCAACGAGCGCAACCCUUAUCCUUGUUUGCCAGCGAGUAAUGUCGGGAACUCCAGGGAGACUGCCGGUGAUAAACCGGAGGAAGGUGGGGACGACGUCAAGUCAUCAUGGCCCUUACGAGUAGGGCUACACACGUGCUACAAUGGCGCAUACAGAGGGCGGCCAACUUGCGAAAGUGAGCGAAUCCCAAAAAGUGCGUCGUAGUCCGGAUUGGAGUCUGCAACUCGACUCCAUGAAGUCGGAAUCGCUAGUAAUCGUGGAUCAGAAUGCCACGGUGAAUACGUUCCCGGGCCUUGUACACACCGCCCGUCACACCAUGGGAGUGGGCUGCAAAAGAAGUAGGUAGUUUAACCUUCGGGGGGACGCUUACCACUUUGUGGUUCAUGACUGGGGUGAAGUCGUAACAAGGUAGCGCUAGGGGAACCUGGCGCUGGAUCACCUCCUUAUACGAUGAU
rnacentral:rRNA from 1 species